rnacentral:rRNA from 1 species
UACAGAGGUCCCGAGCGUUGUUCGGAUUCACUGGGCGUAAAGGGUGCGUAGGCGGUCGGGUAAGUCUGAUGUGAAAUCUCACAGCUUAACUGUGAAACUGCAUUGGAUACUAUUCGGCUUGAGAGUUGGAGGGGGGACUGGAAUUCUCGGUGUAGCAGUGAAAUGCGUAGAUAUCGAGAGGAACACCAGUGGCGAAGGCGAGUCCCUGGACAACACCUGACACUGAGGCACGAAAGCUAGGGGAGCAAACAGG